CCUACGGGUGGCAGCAGUAGGGAAUAUUGCUCAAUGGGGGAAACCCUGAAGCAGCAACGCCGCGUGGGGGAUGAAGGUUUUCGGAUUGUAAACCCCUUUUGUUAGAGAAGAUAAUGACGGGAACUAACGAAUAAGCACCGGCUAACUCCGGGCCAGCAGCCGCGGUAAUACGGAGGGUGCAAGCGUUACUCGGAAUCACGGGGCGUAAAGAGCGGGUAGGCGGGGUAGCAAGUCAGAUGUGAAAGCCUAUGGCUUAACCAUAGAACUGCAUUUGAAACUGUUAUUCUAGAGUAUGGGAGAGGUAGGUGGAAUUCUUGGUGUAGCGGUAAAAUCCGUAGAUAUCAAGAGGAAUACUCAUUGCGAAGGCGACCUACUAGAAGGUGACUGACGCUGAUGCGCGAAAGCGUGGGGAGCAAACAGGAUUAGAUACCCUAGUAGUC
rnacentral:rRNA from 1 species